GCUCCCCGUAGCUCAGCGGACAGAGCGCCGGCCUCCGAAGCCGGAAGCCGCAGGUUCGAUUCCUGCCGGGGAGGCACCA
rnacentral:tRNA from 1 species